rnacentral:rRNA from 1 species
UACGACUACAUAUCAGGCAUAUCAAUAAGCGGAGGAAAAGGAAACUAACUAGGAUUCCCUCAGUAACGGCGAGUGAAGCGGGAAGAGCUCAAAUUUGAAAUCUUCAAGGUUUUACCUUGACGAAUUGUAGUUUAAAGAAGUGUUUUCUGUUGGAGUUUUGGUAAAAGUUCUUUGGAAUAGGACAUCAUAGAGGGUGAGAAUCCCGUAUUUGACCAUUAUUUCCAGCUUUGUGAUACACUUUCAAAGAGUCGGAUUGUUUGGGAAUGCAGUCCAAAAUGGGUGGUAAAUUUCAUCUAAAGCUAAAUAUUGGCGAGAGACCGAUAGCGAACAAGUACCGUGAGGGAAAGAUGAAAAGAACUUUGAAAAGAGAGUUAAACAGUACGUGAAAUUGUCAAAAGGGAAGCGUUUGACACCAGUGUUGUUUCUACGAAAAUCAAUUUAUGAUGGCUUGAUGCUAAGCUUUAAGACUUUAUCCGCUUGUUGUUUAGUUUUCUUGUCUUUGUGAAUGCACUUUUCGUGGAACAAGUCAACAUCAAUUUCUUUUGCUGUAAAAGGGUAAGAGGAAGGUGGCUUCGGCUUCGGUUGAAGUGUUUAUAGCCUUUUAUCUCUGCAGUCGGAGAGAUUGAGGUCUGCAGCGUAGACUCUUCGGGGUUAGAUACGUCGGUGCUAAGCUAUAGCUUUUCAUAGACAACUUGUUGACUAUGUUUAGUCAUGUGGCUUACCCGCUGGCGCUAUUUUACCUACGCUUAGGAUGUUGACUGAUAUGUAGUCGUA